UUCAACUUAUACAACAUACAUCUAAAGAUGAUAAGAUCAAGACCAUAAUAAGAAUUGUGAAAUAGGCUUUACUUCGAUUUCCGCCUCAUCAUUUGACAACUCCUCUUAAAUAGUCUUCUUUGAAUUCACAUGUGUAUGGAAUAGAGGAGUGAAUUCACAGUCUUCCGUUUGUUCUUUAGGAAAUGCUACUUCUUCUGCACAAAAUAAAAUAAAAUAGAGGAGUGUAAUUUACUUAUAUACAUAGUUGAAUUUUGUGAGUGAGGAGCUUGAUUUACCUUGUCAUGAGUGUUGAUGAGUAAAAGAGGGAAAGAGAAAUAGAGAAAACUAAGAAGAUGGUGUAAAAGGAGAAGUUGGAAGGCCAUUGACCAGGGACGUGG
rnacentral:lncRNA from 1 species